UAUCUGGCACCAUUUCUAAAGAGGAUAUGUUCAAUUUAAAGGUUACAGCUGAAUUAGAUGCUAUUAAUGUUGUCUGUGAUCAGAAGUGUUCUAUAGCUGAUGUUAAAAUACAUGGUGAGUAAUUCUAUUUUGUUAUAUAAACAUCCAGCAAAAGUGAGCUUGUAGGGGUGAAUUUCUUAUGAGUCAAACAUUGUUUCCUUACACUGAAGGUUAAAGGUAUAUUUGGAGAUGUUUGUAGUAAAUUUGUUAUAAUUCUUUUCUGACUUGAGACAUUCCAUGUGUAUUUUAAAAAUUUCAGAUUAUAUCUGAGGCCUUAAUUUGUUUCUGUACUUGUAUUUUUAGAAUAAUCUGAUAAUUGAGACAUCACAGAAUUUUUAAAAAAUAGUUUAUUUAUUUUGCCUUUUCCCCGUAUGUAGCAUAGGCAAAGGAGUUUCUGAAAGACACUUGUGACCUUUUGAUGUUGUCGGUUUGAAAGAAUGAAGCAGCACAUUACCCUUCCUCCUUUCCUCCUCUUUUCCUUCUUUCCUGUCUUUCCUUUGUGGGAUUGAAUCCAGAGGCUUUCCACUGAGCUAUACUCUCACUCUAGUUUUUAAACUUUUUGUAAUUUUGAGCCAGGAGAACUUAAUUUCUUCUGAAGUUGCUCAGUUGCCCUGGCUGGGCUUGAAUUUGGGAUCCUCCUGACAGCUUUCCGGAGUACUGGGAUUAUAGGCCUCCACCUCCAGGUCUGGCUAGGUGUUUUGUUUAUUUGGUUUUAAACUCACAACUUUUAUGUAAGAUGCAUGAAGUACUUAAAGGUGUAACCUGUCUUACAUACCUCAUACGUGAAUACUGGUAUAACAAUACCAGUAUGUCUAAUAAUAGCUUGUGUUGACUCUGUAUGUUAGUAGUAUGUUACUGAACACAGCACUGCUCACUUGACUCAUCUGGAUUGAAUGAAUCCUUUGUGAAAGUCUUGCCUUCCCUAUGAAGCCAAAACAGACUGAUAUGUUUGCCAGACUUCAGAAUAUCAUAGUAACAAAUGUUGAUUUGAAGUCCAUUCACAAAAAGGCUGUCUCCAUCUUGGGAGAGGAAGUCUUUCGGUUCCAGAUGACUUUGUAUCCAGACGCCACAGAAGGAGAAGCCUAUGCCGACGUGUCUAAAGUGGAUGGCAGACUUAGUCUCAAAGUGGGUUGUAUUCAGAUCGUUUACGUUCAUAAAUUCUUCAUGUCUCUGUUGAAUUUCCUCAACAACUUCCAAGCUGCCAAGGAAGCUUUGAGCACGGCUACCAUGCAGGCUGCAGAGAGAGCUGCUUCUAGUGUGAGGGACUUGGCCCAGAAGAGCUUCCGCCUUGCGAUGGAUGUGGACCUGAAAGCACCGGUUAUUAUUAUCCCUCAGUCUUCAGUGUCGUCUAACGCUGUGGUGGCAGAUCUCGGUUUAAUCAGCGUGGAAAACAGCUUUAGCUUGCUUCCUGCAGAACGUUACCCUUUCCCUCCAGUCGUUGAUAAAAUGAAGGUCCAACUCACUCAAUUGAAGCUGUCCAGAACUAUCUUGCAAGCUGACUUGCCACAGGAUGACAUUGAAAUCUUAAAACCAGUAAACAUGCUUUUGUCUAUACAACGAAACUUAUCAGCAACCUGGUACAUGGAAAUUCCUGGGAUCGAGAUAAAAGGAAAGUUAAAACCUAUGCAGGUUGCUCUCAGUGAAGAUGAUCUAACAGUUCUAAUGAAAAUUUUGCUGGAAAAUCUUGGGGAAGCUUCUCCACAGCCAAGCCCUACACUGUCUGUUCAGGAGGCUGUGAGAGUGAGGAAAGAUAUUCCAAGUGGACCAGACUACCUGAGAGGUAGAAAUAGAUGAAGAUGCUUGCUUGAUGACUGAAACAUUGUUGUCGGUACCCUCUUUAUACUGAGUGCCCUUUAAUUUUGCAUUCCUUGUUGGGCAGUGUACUGGGGAGGGCCUGUGGCAGCUGCCUCUGGAAACUCCCAGGGGGAGGGGAUCUGCCCGUCAUCUGUGAUGAGAGGAUGAGCCUCAUGCUUGCCACAUGAUCCGUGUUUGCCCUGACUUGUGAAAGCUGCAUUUGCAGAAUUCCCCAGGCACUGAACUUGGGAUCAUUUGCAGGCAGUGCACACUGAGAGGAAGUCAGUAGGCAAGCAGUGUGGCCUGGUCCCAAAGUCCUUGGGAGAGAAAAGGGACUUGGUAUGGUGUCACCACCCGUGGGUGACUGAACCCUGAGAAAGAAGCUUUACUUACCUGAUGUGGAGAAGGAUACAGUCAUAUGAACUUCAGCUCUGUUUCAUAUUAUUAAACUGAACUUUCAGAAAGCACUGAACCGGGCUGGGGGUUUAGCUCAGCAGCAUAAGUGCCUGCCUUGAAAGCAGGCAGUCGUGAGUUCGAUCCCCGGUACCAAUAAAAAGGAAAAAGACAAAAAAAAAAAAAAAAGCAGUGGACCUUUUAAAUUCAGCCAUUUUAAAAUGAUAGUCGUUGUAGAAUAAAAGUUUCUUUUAC
ensembl:lincRNA